rnacentral:rRNA from 1 species
UACGUAGGGACCGAGCGUUGUCCGGAAUCAUUGGGCGUAAAGCGCGUGUAGGCGGGUCGGUAAGUCUGCUCUGAAAGUCCAAGGCUCAACCUUGGGAUGCGGGUGGAUACUGCCGACCUCGAGUCCGGAAGAGGCGAGUGGAAUUCCUGGUGUAGCGGUGAAAUGCGCAGAUAUCAGGAGGAACACCAAUGGCGAAGGCAGCUCGCUGGGACGUGACUGACGCUGAGACGCGAAAGCGUGGGGAGCAAACAGG